CUGGCGGCAGGCUUAACACAUGCAAGUCGAACGGUAGCAGGAGAAAGCUUGCUUUCUUGCUGACGAGUGGCGGACGGGUGAGUAAUGCUUGGGAAUCUGGCUUAUGGAGGGGGAUAACGACGGGAAACUGUCGCUAAUACCGCGUAUUAUCGGAAGAUGAAAGUGCGGGACUGAGAGGCCGCAUGCCAUAGGAUGAGCCCAAGUGGGAUUAGGUAGUUGGUGGGGUAAAUGCCUACCAAGCCUGCGAUCUCUAGCUGGUCUGAGAGGAUGACCAGCCACACUGGAACUGAGACACGGUCCAGACUCCUACGGGAGGCAGCAGUGGGGAAUAUUGCGCAAUGGGGGGAACCCUGACGCAGCCAUGCCGCGUGAAUGAAGAAGGCCUUCGGGUUGUAAAGUUCUUUCGGUAUUGAGGAAGGUUGAUGUGUUAAUA
rnacentral:rRNA from 1 species